rnacentral:rRNA from 1 species
GAUGAACGCUGGCGGCGUGCCUAAUACAUGCAAGUCGAGCGAACGGACGAGAAGCUUGCUUCUCUGAUGUUAGCGGCGGACGGGUGAGUAACACGUGGAUAACCUACCUAUAAGACUGGGAUAACUUCGGGAAACCGGAGCUAAUACCGGAUAAUAUUUUGAACCGCAUGGUUCAAAAGUGAAAGACGGUCUUGCUGUCACUUAUAGAUGGAUCCGCGCUGCAUUAGCUAGUUGGUAAGGUAACGGCUUACCAAGGCAACGAUGCAUAGCCGACCUGAGAGGGUGAUCGGCCACACUGGAACUGAGACACGGUCCAGACUCCUACGGGAGGCAGCAGUAGGGAAUCUUCCGCAAUGGGCGAAAGCCUGGCGGAGCAACGCCGCGUGAGUGAUGAAGGUCUUCGGAUCGUAAAACUCUGUUAUUAGGGAAGAACAUAUGUGUAAGUAACUGUGCACAUCUUGACGGUACCUAAUCAGAAAGCCACGGCUAACUACGUGCCAGCAGCCGCGGUAAUACGUAGGUGGCAAGCGUUAUCCGGAAUUAUUGGGCGUAAAGCGCGCGUAGGCGGUUUUUUAAGUCUGAUGUGAAAGCCCACGGCUCAACCGUGGAGGGUCAUUGGAAACUGGAAAACUUGAGUGCAGAAGAGGAAAGUGGAAUUCCAUGUGUAGCGGUGAAAUGCGCAGAGAUAUGGAGGAACACCAGUGGCGAAGGCGACUUUCUGGUCUGUAACUGACGCUGAUGUGCGAAAGCGUGGGGAUCAAACAGGAUUAGAUACCCUGGUAGUCCACGCCGUAAACGAUGAGUGCUAAGUGUUAGGGGGUUUCCGCCCCUUAGUGCUGCAGCUAACGCAUUAAGCACUCCGCCUGGGGAGUACGACCGCAAGGUUGAAACUCAAAGGAAUUGACGGGGACCCGCACAAGCGGUGGAGCAUGUGGUUUAAUUCGAAGCAACGCGAAGAACCUUACCAAAUCUUGACAUCCUUUGACAACUCUAGAGAUAGAGCCUUCCCCUUCGGGGGACAAAGUGACAGGUGGUGCAUGGUUGUCGUCAGCUCGUGUCGUGAGAUGUUGGGUUAAGUCCCGCAACGAGCGCAACCCUUAAGCUUAGUUGCCAUCAUUAAGUUGGGCACUCUAAGUUGACUGCCGGUGACAAACCGGAGGAAGGUGGGGAUGACGUCAAAUCAUCAUGCCCCUUAUGAUUUGGGCUACACACGUGCUACAAUGGACAAUACAAAGGGCAGCGAAACCGCGAGGUCAAGCAAAUCCCAUAAAGUUGUUCUCAGUUCGGAUUGUAGUCUGCAACUCGACUACAUGAAGCUGGAAUCGCUAGUAAUCGUAGAUCAGCAUGCUACGGUGAAUACGUUCCCGGGUCU